AAAUAGUGUCCUCUGCGUGUAUUCUUCGUAAUUUAGCGAAUGUAGUAUGACAUCCGGGAACUUUUCACAUAUUAACCCUAUCCAUUCUAUGACCAAUAACCAUACUACAUACUCAAAUUACGUCACAAAUAGUACGGGUAUUCAAACGCUUUCUAAAAAGAAGGAAAGCCAAAAUGGUUGUAAAGUUAAUUGAAGCUGGACCGACUGGAGUUGGUUAGCGAGAUAGGCAGUUAACCUUGGGAUAUUUUAAACUGAAAAACAACAAUACAGCAAACACGGAACUGUUAAUUUGUGUCUGAAGAAUCGUUUAGAUGGUGUGAGUUGAUGGUUCUCGGUUUUUUCCCUAAAUAUUUUAUAAUAUUUUGGGCUUUCGUCUCGGCUGACGGAUAUCGACUGCCUUGAUUAGCUACCAUUUGCUUAUUGGCUGCUAGCUAUGUGGUUUUCAUCAACUUUUUUUCACAGCAUCAACUAACGCCAAGUUAACAGAAUUGGGCAGCUGAAAACUACAGCAUGUCAGGAUCUGAGUGGAUUUACGUCGUCCCGGGAACUGGUACGGAACCUCAUCUGAAAGCACGGAGACCCCCUCCGGAGUGUGUGCUGAUGUUCCCGCCACAGCCCUCUCACGUAUUUGUCGCUGUGAGCCGAAGGGUGCUUUGACUGGCAGCAACGCCGGGAUCACCAGUAUAGAGUUUGACAGUGCUGGCUCCUACUUGCUGGCUGCGUCCAAUGACUUUGCCAGUAGGCUCUGGACUGUGAAUGACUACAGACUGAGGUGCUCAGGGCUUCAAUUGUGGCACUGAAUGGACCAGAGUCACCUUCAGUCCCGAUGGCAGUUAUGUGGCGGGGGGCUCUGCAGGUGUGGAACAUCCUGACGGGCAAGUUGGACCGCACCCUGGGCCAGAACCACUGCUCGGCCAUCAACUCUGUGUCCUGGUCACCGUCGGGAACCUACGUGGUCAGUGUGGAGAAAGGCAGCAAGGCCGUGCUCUGGUCCGACAUGUGAUUGGCUCUGCUCUAGCCCUCUGCCAUUGGCUGACUGUCUGUCUGGACUGUUCAAUGGGGGCACAGACUGGACAAGGGGUUCUCUAGCCCCACCCUCUAAUGUCCGAUCCCCCCCCAUUACUUUCCCUCACUGGCAUUGGACCAUUCUGUGCUCAAAUGUGUGGGGGGUGGCUUGCCAAUAGGAAGGAGGUCAUCUGGUGGCCCAUGGGUGGGCAGCAGAGAAUUAGUUGGUGUCCAGUUGGAAGUGUCAGUGGAAGAGCCAUGAAGGCAGUUCUCUUUAAGUAAAACGCUAUCAUAUAUCCAUUUGAAAUGAUAUCCAACCAAGGUGAGUGAGUCACAGUGGAACUUAUAAAACAGUUGCCAAAUUGCCACUAUAACCAGAGCUGAAUAAUCUGUUUUUACAGCUGCAAUUGGACACGUCGUCAGUUUUACAUGACCUUGGGUUGGGCAUAGGCUUUUAAUGUUGAAGUCUGUCAGCUUUUGAAAAACUGGGCCCAGGAGAAGCAAUCUGAUCGGAUUCCCGCCAUCGGAUAGAAUUAAAUGCACAGAAAUAGAAUGGGUGUAUCAUUGACUUGAAUGGGGAUGCCCGUUUGAUUCACACUAUUUCUAUACAUUUAAUCCUACCCAAUUGCCGAGCAUUGAAAUUGUCAGGGGUCAUUUAAUACUGUAGUUCAGUGCUCUUCAACCCUUGUCCUGGCUACCCACAGGGCCUGUUAGGUGGUCCUUAUAGCUAUGCACCAACACUUCACAUCAAGUACUUGAACUGGGCUGGAGAAAAAGCAUGGGUCCAUGGGAUUGAAAAACACUGCUGUAAGGAGUGUGAAGACAUGUUGUUGUGGACAAGACUACACACAAUUCUCCAUAAACUCAUGUGCCAAUCACAAUGAACAUGCCCUCGUGCGCACACACAGGAUCAACGGGUUGAGGCUAGUGCCCCGUUUAUUGUAGUCUGGCAAAAAAGCACACGAUUAUGAAUCUACAUUCCUCCGUCUAAAUCAUAAUCAUACAUGAAAGGCCAAAUGUAGCUAUAUUAACACGAUGAACGUAUAGUUUUACAUAUAAUCAGUUCAGAGAAUACUUUAUUUUACAGUAACGUGAACCAAGGCUCAAAUGGAUGGCGGCAUUUGCGCAAAACUGAAAGCGCGAUCCAACGCAUUUAACCAUGGAAAGAAGUCUGGGAAUAUAAACAGUGUAGCUAUUCCCGCCGCAAUGCAAU